ensembl:snoRNA
AUACUAUGAAGGCUGCAUUGUUCAGCAGGUUGAAUCAUGAAAAGAGGCAUCGUUUAUUUCAUGUAUCU